GUCGUAACAAGGUCUCCGUUGGUGAACCAGCGGAGGGAUCAUUACCGAGUUUACAACUCCCAAACCCCUGUGAACAUACCUUUAUGUUGCCUCGGCGGAUCAGCCCGCGCCCCGUAAAACGGGACGGCCCGCCGCAGGAAACCCUAAACUCUGUUUUUAGUGGAACUUCUGAGUAUAAAAAACAAAUAAAUCAAAACUUUCAACAACGGAUCUCUUGGUUCUGGCAUCGAUGAAGAACGCAGCAAAAUGCGAUAAGUAAUGUGAAUUGCAGAAUUCAGUGAAUCAUCGAAUCUUUGAACGCACAUUGCGCCCGCCAGUAUUCUGGCGGGCAUGCCUGUUCGAGCGUCAUUUCAACCCUCAAGCCCAGCUUGGUGUUGGGACUCGCGAGUCAAAUCGCGUUCCCCAAAUUGAUUGGCGGUCACGUCGAGCUUCCAUAGCGUAGUAGUAAAACCCUCGUUACUGGUAAUCGUCGCGGCCACGCCGUUAAACCCCAACUUCUGAAUGUUGACCUCGGAUCAGGUAGGAAUACCCGCUGAACUUAAGCAUAUCA
rnacentral:rRNA from 1 species